GUUGUAAAGGUUACAGAUUCUGAAAAUGGAAAGAAUUAAUGUAUUAAUUGGUAUCAAAGCGAGAUUGUAUUAAUUAUUUUAUGAAUAAAGGUUAUAAUCAUAUGAAGGUUGUAUAGUAAUGCACCAGGUCCGAGGUAACAGGUACCCGGAUUUGGGGGCGUUACAUGAUCCAUAUCAAAAUGCUAUUUAUGAACAUAGAGUUCAACUUCUGACUUUAAUCAUUACCUGGAUAUUCGCAACGUAAUCCAACAUCUACAUACUCACUAUACACCACCUUUUAUACACUAUUGUCAUCACAUAAAUCUACUUUACAAAAAAUGAUAAAGUUAUAUUUCAUGUUCACACGAAUACUUUUAGCCAACAUCCAUCUAUUGGACAACUCAAAGUUUAUACAAUUCAAUAAAACUAUGUUACAACAUGUAGCAUCGACUUGGUAUAAACUAAAUUUGAUAAAACAAUACGCCUUUACUAAGCAUGUCGUAUUUGGAACCUUCGCUGCUAUAAUUUCUGAUAAAUCAACUUUCAUCUGCAAAUUUUAUAUUUUACAAUGUUGAGCAAAACGACCAAGCAAGUCUAACAGUUUUCAUGCAUCACGUUUCAUAUAUACUAUGCAUUUCAAUCAUGCAUCAUAUAGCUCAUGUUAUGCAUUUUAUACAUGCAUCAUAAAUCUUAUGCAAUGCAUUUACAUAUGCUUCACACAUCUCAUAAUAUGCAUCUUCAUAUGCGUACUUUCAAUUUCAUCAUAUUAUUUUUAGAUCAUACUUCACAUGUUACCAAACGUAACAUUUGUCACAUAUCUCCAUUCACAUAUCACAAACAAAUUGAGUUCCAUAACUCAAUUAACUUUAGUCAUAAUUUGACUUUAGCGAUUCGUAUAACAUUGACAUUCAAAAACAUGAAUUUUAACAUAUUCACAAGGAUUUCAUCAUAAUGCGAUAACAAUUGCACAUAACUAACAUCGAGUUCACAUAAUACAAGCAAACUGAAAAAUUUGUCUUUAUUGCAAAUUGCUUCCGGGUCUACUUGAUAUCGCGUACUCAAAGCAAUGUUAUCUCUGUCAGGAAUAUGCAUGAGAAUGUUAUUCCUUAUUUAUAUAAUUAAAUGAUGAAGAUGAUGAAGUUAAUGAAUGAAUAUGCAAAUGUGUUUGCAUUGAUAAAAGUCGUAAAGUCCUUAAUAGAUGAUAGACAAUACGGACAAUGACUUAGAUUGAAAUGAUCAAAUAUGUUAGGUUGAUCGAAUAUGAAUGAAUAGUUUUGUAAAAGUCCUUCAAAAGAUCAUGAUGUACAAGGACUAUGAAUAGAAAGAUCAAACUUGUUAGGUUGAUCUUAUGAAGUAUAAUAGAUAGGCAUGUUUGAUCGAAUAACGCUGAAUCAGUCACUAUAGUCUGCCAAGAAAGUAAAACAAGAAUCGUAAGCCUCACUCGAUAUUGCUGAAGCCAGCUAAGAGAUUGUUGAAGCCAAGAAAGAAUCGCAGUCUGUCAAAGAAAGUCACUCUCGAGAUCGUAGAGACAGUUUGCUGAGUGUCUGCCGAGCCAAGUGAAGAAUCGCAAGCUUCGCUCAAAAUCAUGGAAUCUACAAGUCAUCACCAAUGAAAAUCGUAGUCAUUUAAGUGCUCGUAAUACUAAAGUAGAAUCGUAGAGCACUCUACGAUUCUCAACAGAUGAACAAUCCUGAAGUGCAUACAUAGAUCUCAUCCUCUGAUAAGUGUAAUCAUGUUUCAGUAUGCAAUCUACUUGAAGAAUAUCAGAAAGCAUUCUCUGAAUGGCCGGAAAGUAAACAGAAGAUCAAAACACCAACUUUAUAUAUAGCAAGGCUAAUAGAGAAUUGAAAAGCUAUUCAGAAAGAGUCUCAUCAGAAGACAACGAUCGUAGUGCUUACCAAACAGCAAAAGGGUCUGUCAAAGAAACUACAAAGAUAAUGGUAAACCUGCCACAGAGUAAGUAGAAGACAAACUAGGAGGAUGUCAAUGCUCAGCCUCACCAUGGAGUAUGAUCAAGAGAUCAUAAGGCUGAAGAUUAAAGAAGCUGAGCAUAACUAAUCAAAAGGGAUAUGCAAACCAAAGUGUCAAAGCAGUCAUUCAACUUGUUAGUUCUUGAAGCAAGGCAAGACAAGCAUGAUCGUAGAACAGACUGCAAGAGCAAAGUACAAGAUGGUAAAGCGUUGAGCACUCUCAGAAUCAUAAGAGAUGUCAAGGUCAAAUCAUCCUACGAUUUCCACAGACAAGCUAUGACCAAGUAAUCGUAGAGUUCAUAAAGGUCAACAUCAACAUCGUAGAGGGCGUUUGUCUGAUGAGUGAGAAUGUUUAAACAAAGAAGACCGACAUUCAAACGUUGUGAAUUGAGGAUCCCGAUAUACUCUCCAAACAUCCUUGAUGUAAAUCAAGGAAACAAAAAAAAGGGUGACUAGCUACUAAUCUGCUGAAGGUGACGUUUCAAAAGUGUUAGGUGAUAAAGCAGACUGUUGUGUCAGGCAAGUCAAAAAGGAGUUGUCACAUCAACUCAGUAUGUCUACAUCAAAGAUUUCAGAAUAGCUACAACAUUAAAUGCUCCAAAUAAAGCUCUUCAACGGAAGACUCCCAUCGACUAUGUUCCAACGAGAAGAUAAUAGAUGAAUCUAAAAAUAGCUGAAGCUUCAAAGAAGACAUAGUUAUUGACUUGAGAUGAAGUAAGUCAUAUAGAGUUUAAUAGAGAAAAGGUCUCAGUGAGAGUGAGACCACCACAGAAGAGUGAAUCAUAACUAAUGCGAGUCUUACAAUGAAAAAGCCUCACUCAAUACAAAGGACUAUGACAACGAAGUGACAUCUAUACUGAGAGCCGGAAGGCCAAGAAGAAAACAACUAGAGUGGCAGAUCAGAAAGCAAAAUACUUGAGUCACUCUACGUUUCACCAUGAACACACUGAGCUGAAGAUAAGAAGAUACAGAGCCGAAUCUGUUCACAAAACAACUAGUGUUCAAAGACGGCUAAGUACCUAAAAAAGACAAGUUGAUAUGAAAAGGCUUAGCAAUACCUCAACGGUAACAAUGUGCAAUGUUGAAUAUCAGAUGAAGACAAACAUCAACAACACAAAGAACAACAGCACCAAGGGAAGAAUCAGACUGCCAAUUACCAAUAAGAUGUCAAGUUGAAUGUACAUCUUAGCAGUCUAUUAGAUGUGAUCAAGUACUAAUGUUGAAUGCCUAAUGAUCACAAGAAGUCGCUAAGUACCAGAAGAUGAACAAGCUAAAUGUCAUCUUAGCAGCUCAACAACAACAAACAACCACUCAAGCAACCAGGGCCUGCAGGGUCCUUGUCUUAGUGACUAAACCAAAGUCAAGUCUGUUGAGCUUGCUGAGUACCGGAGGGUACAAGAGAUUCUAAGUCUGUCGAGCUUAGUCUACAGUUUUCAAGGCUGCUGGUCUUGAAGGAAUCUUAGUGAUUCGAAGUUAAUCAAAUCCUUAGUGGAAUUGCCUGCUUGUUGAAGCAGAAGAGUGGAUUAGGAGCAUUCAGUCUCUGAACCACUUACAACCUCUGGUGUAAUUUACUUUACGUCAUUUACACUCAGUACUAUAACUGUUAUAUCUGCUUGCAACUAAUUUAAUAUUAGAACUGCGUUUAAUGUUAUAUUCUUGAAGGGGAUCUUAAUUUAUUCUGAUGUGCAUAAAUUGAUUCCUCUAUCAUUAUCUGUUUAUCACUUAUCUAGAUAAAAGAAAAAGAAAAAUGUUUAAGGAUCUAUUCAACCCCCCUUCUAGAUCUAUUGUGUGCCCCCGGGAACUAACAAUCUCGUAUCGCACCUAUAUAGCAUACAUAAGGUUGUUGUGUAAGUUAAUGCAUUUAUAUCUCAUGAACUUUUGACUUAACUUUGUAUUUUUCAAGCUUAGUAAUUCAGUCUUAACUUUAUCAAAUAUAUUAGAUUUAUUUAUAUUAUUAUAGGUCAAACUACACUAUUAAAUGUCCAAUUAUGCCAUCAUAUGUCAUAAUAUAUCAGUCCUCCAAGUAUCGUUUUAAAAAGAAUUAUAAAACUCGUUUGACCUAUUUUAAUCGUUAAUGAACCUUGUUUAUCGUUUAAUCAUAAUUUCUUCGUUUCUUAUCCGUUUUGGUUUAUUCUUACGCCAAAUUAAAGCUUAUUGCAUCUACUUUAACAUCAUAUAGGCUCUGAUUUCAGUCCUACAGAAAAUUGCCCAAAGUUGCUGCCCAGAAUCUGUCUAAAUUCUAGAAAGGUUGAAUGACACUACUGUCCCUCUAAGUUGCCACCCACUUUCUAAGUCGUCCCUAAAGUUCAUGAAUUUUUGUCAAUUAGAUCCUUAAAGUAACAUUUUGUUGGCGUUCCAGUUUCUUCAGCCUAAUUUAACCUCAACCCGACCCAUUUUGACCCAACCCAGUUUGACCCAACCUAAAAUUCUAAUAUUUAAAAUAUAAAUUAUUUUAAAAAUAAUAAUUAUAUUUAACAUUUAAAAUAUAUAUAUUUAAUAUUUUAAAAUAAAUUAUUAUAUUUAAAAUAAUAAUAAUUUUAAUAUUUUAAAAUAAAAAAAAUUAUUAAAAAUAGCUAAUUUUGAUAUUUAAAAAUAAAAUAUUAGUUUUUCAAAAAAUUAAAUAAUAAUUAUAUUUAAUAUUUUUUUAAAUAAUUUUAAAAUAAAAAUUAUUGUCAAUAUUUUAAAAUAAUAAUUAUUUUUUAUAUUUAUAAUAAAAUAUUAUUUUUAAAAAGUUAUAAAGAUAAUUAUUAUUAUAAGGAAAAAUAUUAGAAAAUUAUAUUUUUUUUCAAAAAUGAGUAAAGUUUCAAAAAAUAUAGAUUCAAAAAAAUUACAUAAGAAAAUAAAACUUUAUGUUUUAAAAAUAAAUUAAUUUUUUUUUCAUUUUUUAUGUAAAAUUUAUUUUUAGAAUUUUUUUUAUUAUCUUUAAAAUUACUAUAUGUAUUCUUAAUAUUAGAAUUUUUAGAAACAAAAACUAAAAAUAGAAAUUAAAAUAUAAAAACAGUAAAAGAUAAAUAAAAAGUUGAUUCAAAAAUUUUUAAAUAAAUUUUUUUUUAAAAAUAAUUAUUAUUUUCUGAAAUAAAAAAUUAUAAUUUUUUAAAAAAUAAUUAAAAACUUUAGGGAUCUAAUCUUAAUAUUAAAUUUAAUUAUUAUUUAAUUUUUUUAAAAACGAAUAUUUUAUUUUAAAAUAUUAAAUAUUUAUUUUAAAUGUUAAAUAUAAUUAUUAUUUUAAAAUUAUUUUUAAAAUAAUAUUAUAUUCUAAAAUAUUAAAAAAUUGGGUUGGGUCAAACUGGGUCGGAUUUGGUCAAAAUGGGUCCGAUUGAGGUCAAAAUGGGUUGAAAGAACGGAAACGCCAACAAAAUGCCACAUUAAUGACCUAACUGACGAAAAUUAAACUUUAGGAACGAAUUUGAAAGUGUGUGACAACUUGGAGGAAUAGAAGUGUCAUUCAACCUUCUAGAAAUUCACAUUUUUGUGUUUCUCGGGCUAGUAUUGUGAAUUUUUCUCAUUCAUUAUACAUCGGAUUAAAGCCAUUUUUGGAUAUGUUCUACCUCAUACUGCGUUGUAUCGUUGUAUUUUUAAAAAUAUAACAUGUAUGAAAAGAAUUUGGCAAGUCUUCGAAACACUGGCCCGAAAACAGCCCAUUCACAACAGUUUUAGACUUGGAAAUUUCCAGAUUUCUAGCAACUUUGUUAUUUUCCUACCUAAUUUGCGAUUUAGUAACUUGCACACCAUACAUCCGAUUUACUUCAAUUUUGGAUAUGUUUGAGAUGUUAAUACAUACUCCCUCCGUCCCAUAUUUAAAUGUCUUAAUUUCUUUUUUAGGAUGUUCCAAAAUAAAUGUCCUAUUUCUAUAUUAGUAACUAUAUUUGUCAUAUUUUUCCCCUUAUACCCUCAUAAUCUUUUUACUCGACUUAAUUUUAUUGGAAAUUGAAUAAAUGUGAAAAUAUUUAUAUUGGGAACUGGUGUAUAGUAUACUACUUUCAUUCUAACAUCUCUUUUUAUUUUAUGUACUUAUUGGGAAUGUGAGAGUUACAAAAAAAAUCUAGAUAAUUAAAUGAUGUGGGAAAGUAAUUAUUGGGGUCAUAGAAAAGUGAAGAAAUACUUUAAUUAAUAAGUAAUUAAAAGGGUAACUUAGGUAAAAGAAAAUUGUAUUAAUCAACUUGCCGAAACAAAUUAGGACAUUUAUUUUGGGACAGAAGGAGUAGUAUUUUAGAAAAAUACUAAUUUCCCAAAAUGAAUUCUCUAAGGCAUACUUAUAGAGGUUCAAAGUUCCCAGUUCUUCACAAAUUUUAGCUUGAAACUAAUUUGGUAAAAUCUUUUGAUUUCACUUUUAAACUGAAUUUAAAUCAUUCACAUGACUCAAGCUAUAUAUCUUGAAUUUCACAUUUAAAUAUCUCUUAGCUUCAAGCUUUGCUCAAAUCUCAAAUUUUAAGCAUUAAACCUCUUUGAGGUAUUUUAUCAAGCAUCUUACAUUCAUAGUCUAAAUUUCUUGAUUUCAUACAUGUUUAGGCAUGGUCUAGCCCUAAAAUUUUCAACCUUUUCACUCUAGAGUUCAUUUACUAUUUUUAUCAUACCAAUUCACAACUAAGCACAUCAAUAUAUAGCAACAAUCAACUAUUCUCUAUCUCAAUUCAUGAACUUAGUAAAUAAAACUAACUUACCUCUUUGUAGCUUGAUGUUAUGAUCAAAUCCUUGCUCCAACUUGAAAUUAGUUGAGUUAAAUUCUUCUUUUGGACUGUACCUUACUCAAUUUCUCUUCAAUUUCAGUUACCAACUUCAAUCUUUAGAGAAUUUGAUGAAUACUCAUGUUUUGGUAGUAGAGAUAUAUAUAAAAACAUAAACAAUUGUAGAAUAAGAUAUGGAACUUGAACUGAGAACUGGACUUAGAAGAGAUGGAUGGAAGAGGAGUAUGAGAAUUGUGAUUGCUGAAAAUUGGGUAUAUGCUCCUUAGUCUCUCUCUCCCACUAUCGGACCAAGUUUAGCUUUCUCAUGCUUAGUGUCCUUAAUUGGUUUAGAAAUUAGAAUAAUGACACCUCCUGCUUUCCUAAUGUGACUCAGCAACUAGCCCUCUCCCUUUUCAAUUCUGAGUACAUUUGGUUCAACU
rnacentral:lncRNA from 1 species